GGACUACUCGGGUUUCUAAUCCUGUUUGCUCCCCACGCUUUCGCACCUCAGCGUCAGUCUCUGUCCAGGUGGUCGCCUUCGCCACCGGUGUUCCUCCCAAUAUCUACGAAUUUCACCUCUACACUGGGAAUUCCACCACCCUCUCCAGGACUCAAGCUCUCCAGUAUCGAAUGCACUUCCACGGUUAGGCCGUGGGAUUUCACACCCGACUUAAAAAGCCGCCUACGCGCGCUUUACGCCCAGUAAUUCCGAACAACGCUUGCACCCUCUGUCUUACCGCGGCUGCUGGCAC
rnacentral:rRNA from 1 species